rnacentral:tRNA from 3 species
GCGGGAGUAGCUCAGUUGGCUAGAGCGCGAGCCUUCCAAGCUCGAUGUCGCGGGUUCGAGUCCCGUUUCCCGCUCCA